GGACGCCGCGCGCCACCGGCCCUCCGCGGGGCAGGGGCUGCUGCGAGCUCGCCGGGCGCCCUUUAGACAGUCGUCCUUGUCUACUCCACUACCAAAUGUUGAAGUUCUUCAAGAAUCAGUCCUUUGGAGGCCUGACCAAUUUUUGUAUUUUUAGUUGAGACGGGAUUUUGCCAUGUUGGCUAGGCUGGUCUCGAACUCCUGACCUCAGGUGAUCCGCCCACCUCAGCCUCCCAAAGUGCUGGGAUUACAGGCAUGAGCCACUGUGCCUGGCCGUGGACCUUCUUUUCAAAGAAUUAUGGAGGCUUAUUUUAGUUCCCCUAACUUGGAAAUCUCCUGAGGAAGAAAGGUGACUACAGGCAUUUGUCAAAAAUUUGUAAAGGCAAGUUUAUUAGCCUCUGCCAUCGGGGGCAAAGAAUAAUAGCUAAGGCAAACAAUAGACACACCAAAAAGCCUGGGAGGAAAAGCUGGAAAGUAAGAUAUUUUGGAGAAUAAAGGCUUUUAAAACUUCCACAUAUUCUUGGGAAUCCAAAAGGCCACAUGUACAUGCAGGGUGAGCAAAUAGAGAAGACUUGAGAAAGCCUUAAACUCUCACCUCUGGCUAACCAUCAGGCUUGCUCAAAUAGGAAGUGAAAACUAAGGUGAAUUUGUUGCUUAGCUGAAUGUUGAAGGUGUGCCCCAACACUUACACAGAGCCUACUGGUAAAGACUGAGAGUGUUUUCUUUUUGUCUUGGUUUCAGGCAUUUAAGGAAAUCUGUUUCUCUUUUGGAUCACUAGCUGCAAAUUAAGCUAACAGAACAGGAGCUCAGCUGGUCACACACAGCAACGAAUACAGACUUUAUAAAGUUCAGAAAAGUUACCAAACAGUGGUAACCAUAACAAGUACCAACAAUGAACUAUGGGGAGGGAGGAGAAUCUGAUUUCCAGAGUUACCACAUUAUAAUACUAUUCAAAAUGUCACAUUUUUAGCAAAGAUUACAUGACAAGGAAAAACCAGAAAAGUAUGGCCCAUACACAGGUAAAAAAAGAAAUUAAUAGAAACUACCCCUGAAGAAGCACAGACUUCGGAUGUACAAAACAAAGACUUUUCAUCAACUCUUUUAGAUAUGCUAGAAGAGCUAAAGGAAACCAUGGACAGAGAACAAAAAAAUUAGGAAAGCAAUGUCUCAUCCAAUACAGAAUAUCAAUAAAGAGAUUGAAAUUGUAGAAAAGAACCAAAUAGAAAUUCUGGAGUUGAAAAGUAUUAUAACUAAAACUGAAAAUUCACUAGAGGUAUUCAGCAGCAGACUGGAGAAGUCAGAAGAAAGAAUCAACAGGCUUCAAGAUAGGUCAAUUAAGAUUAUACAGUCUGAGGAGCAGAAAGGAAAAAGAAUGAAGAAAAAUGAACAGAGCAUAAAAGACCUCUGGGACUCUAUCAAGCAUACCAGUAUAUGCAUGAGGGGAGUCCCAGAAGGAGAAGAAAGAGAGAAAGGGACAUAAUAUUUGAAGAAAUAAUGGUAGAAAAUGUCCCAGCUUUGAUGAAAUACAUGAAUCUAGAUAUUCAAGAGGCUCAAAGAACCCUAAAUAGGGUAAACUCAAAAAGACCCACACCGGAAUGCAAAAGUGAGCUGGGUGUGGUGGCACGUGCCUGUGGUCCCAGCUACUCGAGAGGCUAAGGCAGGAAAAUCGCUUGAACCCAGGAGGCAGAGAUUGCGGUGAGCCGGGAUUGCGCCAGUGCACUCCAGCUGGGCGACAGAGCGAGAUUCCAUCUCGAAAAAAAAAAAAAAAAAAAAAAAAAACUAUUGCUGCAGUCAUUCAGAUGGAAAUGGGGAAAGAAUAAUAUUAACUGAUUUCAAAAAGGACUUGAAGAUGUGAAUCAUCUAUUUUGCUGAAGAAAUCUUAACUCUUUGAAAUUACUUUUUGUUGCUGUUGUCAUACUCUUAGGUGCCAAACUGCGGUAAAUUUUUUAUCAGUGAAGUGGAAGCAUGUGUUUUGUUGUUUUGGGAAUUUUUAUCAAGUAUCUUCAGAGAAGAUUAUUUCCUGCUUUAUCUUCAAAAACUGGAAAGGAAGGGUCAAAGAAAAGACAGUAGCUGGCCGGUCAUGGUGGCUCAUGCCUGUAAUCCCAACACUUUGGGAGGCUGAGGUGGGCAGAUCACCUGAGGUUGGGAGUUCGAGGCCAGCCUGACCAACGUGGAGAAAUGCCAUCUCUACUAAAGAUGCAAGGAUUGGCCGGGCGUGGUGGUGCGUGCCUGUGAUCCCAGCUGCUCAGGAGGCUGAGGCAGGAGAAUCGCUUGGACCUGGGAGGUGGAGGUUGCGGUGAGCUGAGAUCACGCCAUUGCACUCCAGCCUGGGCAACAAGCGAAACUCUGUCUCAAAAAAAAAGAAAAGACAGUAGCUUAUGUUCAUGUCAAGCACCUCUCAUCACAGUCUAGUUCCAAGGAAAAAAUUCCCAGCGUUUUCUACAUUCGGUGCUGCGUCAUCUGAAAUCGGCACAUUCCAUGGAGGAAGGAGUCCUGCUUUGUUGCAUGUAUCCUAGGGUUUAAUGUUGGUAAAUGAGUCACUCUAGCAUUUGUAGAAGGCUCCCUGAGACUCCUGCAGCAGUCGACCAAGCCCAAGGACAUAAUUGAAUCUGGAGAGUCCUGGGGCCUUGUUUUGAAAAAGACUUGAAAUACACAUAGGAAGAAAGGCAUAAAAAUAAAUGUUCACUUGUCUCUGCUGUGAGUAUGUGUUCCAACUUUUCAGUGAUGGAUUUGAGAAUGAGGACCCCUUCGCCAGGAAAACAUGUAUACACUCAA
rnacentral:lncRNA from 1 species